GUGUUACAGCACCUGAUGUUCAGUAAUGAACGGCUGCAUUUGCAUUUAACUUAUAAAAUGCAGCUGAUGAGCUUUUGAUUUAUUUGUCAUUAAACGUGGAAUUCUUGUGCCUAAGCACGAAUUUGAUGGAUUCGCCACAAGCGAAGUGGCAAGUGGAAGAAUUGUAGCUGGCUUGUUUAACUACAUAUAAAUAUAUAUUAGAAGUCCUGAUAUGGUAAAAUACAGUUAGUUGAGGGAUGCCAUUGAGGACAGCUGCGAUAUGUACAAGGAGUGGCAGGUGGGCAGUGGUUUGGAGGUUGCAUGGGAAAGUGGCUGGGGUUCAGGCAAGUAUAUAUUAAAUUUUGGACGACUUAUGGCCCAGGCGAAACUUUAAUCGGAAUUAUUUGCCCAACUUCCAAAAUGUAUCCGAUUUAAACGAUUUUAACUUCAGCUACCUUUAUAAAAAACCCAGAAAUUGGGCCUAGAGGUGGCCCAAAUGUGGAAGGUUUCAAAGCUAAAAUCCUGGCGAUGUUCCCAUGCCACAAAUCGACCACAAGGCUUUUGAGUAUACAGAGCUUCAUAUUGUUAAGUUUUAACUUAUAAAGCCAAAUACUAAUAUGUAUAUUCAUAUUUUGUAUUUAUGCUGGUCUGGUGACGAAAAAUUGCACAUCUUGCGUAAAAUUAAAAAACCUACAGAACGAAUAUCAAUAUAAAGAAAUUUUUGCAAAAAUCAUAUCAAGCCCAUCCUAAAACUAAAAUAAAUAUAGCUAUAUAAACAUCAAAACUAAUAAGAAAAAUGUAAAAGACAUUAAAAUCAAUUUAAGUAUUUCCGUAUUAAGCUUAAACUCAUUAAAUUUUUUGAUACACAUUCGAACUCGUUAAAAAAAAUAGUUAAUUUGUUAUAGUUCAUUUGUAAAGUUGUUAAAUAAAUAAAGGUCUGCGUACUUAA